rnacentral:lncRNA from 1 species
AAUCCAUAGCAGUACAGCUUAUACAACAGACAGCUCACUGGAAAAUGGGAAAGAGUUUCAACCAGCCUUAACUGGCAUAACAUUGACUUCAGGAAAGCUGGAGGGAGAGGGAAGUGGUUUAUAUUCUUCAAGAAUUGAAGCUAUUGGUUAGAUGCUCCUGUGUCAGCACCUAGUGACUCCUAGCUGAGGUAUGCCUCACAUAUUUCUGUCCAAGUUAGGCAAGGGAGCAUGUCUUUUCUUGCUGACUUGCUCAAGCUAAGAGUACUUGCGAACAUGGGGAGAUGUCCACUUCCACUCUUGAAGUGGGGAGAGCACAGCUGGUGAUGCAUGCAGUAGGAAUUUCUACCUCCAAGCUAAAAAUGCAGAUGCCUUGUGUCACCAUCCACCACCUUGAGUUGGUGCUCACAAAGAAGCCAGCAGAGUUGAACAGAUAUCAAAACAUGGAAAGAAAGGGCUGGACCCUGGCUGAAAACCUGAGGUAUAGUCAUCUUCAUUAUGCUCCAACAUUCUGAAUAAGGAUGAAAAGUAGGUCUUCCAUAAAAAGUUACCUCUCUCUCUAACAUCUUGUGGCAGUGAAUUUUGUAAGCUCUCCACAGAAUAUAUCCAUUUAAUUGUUUGCUUUUUGCUAUACUUCUACAAGCACUGAGUUCUGUUGGUUUGUCUUUUCAGGAUAAAGGAAGGCUCUGCAGGAGGAUCUGGAUAGGCUGCACCAAUGGGCUUAGGUCAACUGCAUGAAGUUUAACAAGUCCAAGUGCCGGGUCCUGCACCUGGGGCGCAAUAACCCCAAGCAGAGCUACAGGCUGGGAGAUGAGUGGUUGGGGAGCUGCCUGGCAGAGAAGGACCUGGGAAUGAU